AUGUUCGCGAUAAUGUCAAUGGAGACAGAGGGGCACGGCAGGGAGUUCGGCCGCCGGCAGAAGAUGCGAGCCAAAUGUACGGUCGAGUUUGUCUGCAAGUACUGCCAGCGGCGCUUCACCAAGCCCUACAACCUCAUGAUACACGAGCGCAGCCACAAGGCCGACGUGACCUUCACCUGCGAGGUCUGCGGCAAGUCCUUUAAACGCCAGGACAACCUCAAACAGCACAGAUGUGGGUGGCGGUGAGCGGGAGCUGGCUCUCGGGACCUACUCCUGCCUUCUCACGCGCAUUGUAUCUCACUCACCCACAGUUUUUACACACUUUAAACACAUACCCACGAGCAUACACUCCGUUCCCUUCAAGGGCUCCAAAGGCUACUCGAACGGCUAC
rnacentral:misc_RNA from 1 species